rnacentral:rRNA from 1 species
AGUGAACGCUGGCGGCAGGCUUAACACAUGCAAGUCGAGCGGGAGUCCUUGUGGUGUCUGCGGCAGCCGGGUGCGUAACGCGUGGGAACGUGCACUUCGGUUCGGACUACCUUUGGGUGACUUGUGCUAAUAGCGGAUACGUGCGAGAGCAGAAAGGUUUAUCUGCCGAAGGAUCGGGCCGCGUCUGAUUUGCUAGUUGGUAAGGUUACGGCUCACCAAUGCCUCGAUGACUAGCUGGUAUCAGAGGAAGAUCAGACACACUGGGACUGCGACACGGUCGAGACUACUGCGGGAGGCAGCAGUGGGUAAUAUAGGAAUACGGGGGCAACCCUGAAGCAGCCAGGGUGCGUGAGUGAUGUCGGUCUGAGGGAAGAGAAGCUCUUUUCUACGGGGCGGUAAUGACGGUACCGGAAGAAUAAGCCCCGGCUAACUUCGUG